rnacentral:rRNA from 1 species
AGUGAACGCUGGCGGCGUGCCUAAUACAUGCAAGUCGAACGGAGUGGCGCACGGGUGAGUAAUAUAUAGCUAAUCUGCCCCUUGCUGGAGGACAACAGUUAGAAAUGACUGCUAAUACUCCAUAGCAAGGGAUGAGACUAUAUCGUAUCAGCUAGUCGGUGGGGUAACGGCCUACCGAGGCUAUGACCCGUAACUGGUCUGAGAGGAUGAUCAGUCAAAUUGGAAGUGAGACACGGUGCAAACUACUACGGGAGGCAGCAGAAGGGAAUAUUGCGCUAUGGGGGAAACCCUGACGAAGCAACGCCGGGGGGAGGAUGACACUUUGCGGAGCGUAAACUACGUUUGUUAGGGAAGCGGUACCUAACGAAUAAGCCCCGGCUAACUCCGUGCCAGCAGCCGCGGUAAUU